rnacentral:rRNA from 1 species
AUUGAACGCUGGCGGCAUGCCUUACACAUGCAAGUCGAACGGCAGCACGGGUGCUUGCACCUGGUGGCGAGUGGCGAACGGGUGAGUAAUGCAUCGGAACGUACCCGGAAGUGGGGGAUAACGUAGCGAAAGUUACGCUAAUACCGCAUAUUCUGUGAGCAGGAAAGCAGGGGAUCGUAAGACCUUGCGCUUUCGGAGCGGCCGAUGUCGGAUUAGCUAGUUGGUGGGGUAAAGGCUCACCAAGGCGACGAUCCGUAGCGGGUCUGAGAGGAUGAUCCGCCACACUGGGACUGAGACACGGCCCAGACUCCUACGGGAGGCAGCAGUGGGGAAUUUUGGACAAUGGGGGCAACCCUGAUCCAGCCAUGCCGCGUGAGUGAAGAAGGCCUUCGGGUUGUAAAGCUCUUUCGGCGGGGAAGAAAUUGCUUCGGUUAAUACCCGGAGUAGAUGACGGUACCCGCAUAAGAAGCACCGGCUAACUACGUGCCAGCAGCCGCCGCGGUAA